UGUGUAUUGAUCCAUCAUCCUCAUGUUCCUGUUCCCCUCUGUGUUUUUACGACUUUAUUCUUCAGGUCAGUUUUCAGUGGUUCCUGCUUUAGUUGUUGUUCUCUCUCCUUGUGUGUGGUCUAACUUUCUGUGUUCUCCCUCUCUUGUGUGUAUUAAGUCUGUUGCCUACCCUCUGUGUCAGACUCAGACUGGAUAAACUAUGGACAACUUGGUUUCACCUUCUGCCAGUAUAUGAAUUUGAAGUCAAAAAGCUCUCAGUAUUUCUCCUUUUUCUUUUUCUCCAUUUCCUGAAACCAACAUUGCGCAGUAGCGUUGUACGCUUUCGGCAGGACAGUCGCCGAGAGUCGCUGUGAUGACGCUCUGCUCAAACAACGUGCCCACCGGGUGAGCAAUGUAAUUUCCGUAUGCCCAUAGGCUGUAUCAAGUGUCAAUCAUAGAAAACAUGAACCCGCUAAUAACUUUUAAAAAAUGGGAUGGCUCCACCUAGUUAGGAGGCAGACGGCGUUCAUUCUAUAUACAGUCUAUGGUCAGACCAUUGUCAAACAUGUGUCCUUGUGUUUUUAUGUUGCCUUUUGUUUUGUUGCCUUUUCUGCUGAGUCCUUCCAUUUUUGUUUGUGUUUCACAAGCAGGAGGAUCUGACUAAGGAUGGAUCUUUCUGACCAUUCACGAGGAUUGGACAUUUUUUUAGUUUACAGGGACUGGAGCUAGUUUGUAUGACUUUGAAACGGGGCUGAGAUUAG